rnacentral:pre_miRNA from 1 species
GCGACAGAAGAGAGUGAGCACAAAUGGUUCUUUCUUGCAUGGGACACAUGCUUGAAGCUGUCUGUGCUCACUCUCUGUCUGUCAC